AGCAGCCGCCGCCACACGCUUCUCUCCAGCAUCGGCGGUGCAGCAUCUCUGCCUCACACAACCCGUCGGUCCGUCCUUCCUCCGGCUUGUUUGUCCGUCCGGAGGCAGCUGGAAGUUUAACCCGCACUCAGAAGCCGAGAGGCGGCGGCCAUGAGCGCUGCGUCCCGCUGACAUCCAGCAUCCAGAGAGCCGCCGCAGCUGGAACCUACAAUCCGAGCGUAGAGAGCGGAGGAGGGAGCACUGCAGCAGACAUGCCGGGCCUGCUGCUCAUCACACUGGCUGCUCUCCUGGUCAGCUGCGACGCCUUCAGGUUGGCUUCGUCGCUCCGCCAGGACGAAGGCCCAGCCCAGGCGUCACGCUUCCUCCGGGAAUUAGUCCGAGCCAAACGCCACUCGGUCCAUGAGCUGGUACGAGCUCAGCCUCACCUGGUCCACGACAUGGGCUGGCCCGAGAUACACGAAACGUCCCGUUCGCAGGGAAAGAUGGAGUCGACCAACUCCUCCCAGCUGAAUGCACUGGCGAGGACUCGGGCCACCGUGGACGAGAACCUGGACAUGGAGGACGAGAUGGAGCGGAAGGUUCAUCUGGCGGUUCCCCUGGAUGAAGGAGGCUUCAGGGGGCAGCCAGACUCCGCUGACCCAGAGACGGAGCUCCUCGGUGGGACUGGAGCGGCCGACGCCUCCCAGGAAGCUUCUGGCUUCUAUGGAACCGACCUGGAGGACAGAGAGAGACGAGCAGGAGAAGAAGAGGAAGAAGAAGAAGAGAAGACUGAAGAUGACGUCCUGGAAGCCUCGGAGGGAAACCACACGACACCAGAUCUGGACGCUCUGAUCGGCUACAGUCCAUCCUUCGCUCCGUCCAGCUCCCAGGAGCCCAGCAUCUCCUUCCCAGCCGACGUGCACGAUUCUGGGCUGCAGGAGCACCGAGCGUCCCCCAUCCUGGAGGUGGGUCCUUUAGAGAGGGAGCUGUGGGAGGCAGAAGGGGAGGAAGAUGUUCAGUCCAGUGGUUACGGAGUCCUUCACUCCUCCACGACUACAACCAGAACUACAUCUGUUGCUACGGCGACGUCCACCGCUGCUGCUGCUGGAGACACUGUUGGAACAGCAACACCUGAAACUGACACCGGAACAGACUUCGGGCUGCUGGGAAGCAACACAAAAGAUGUGACAGAGGAUGAGGAGGCAGAGAGGAAGGAGGACGAGGAGGAAGCAGGUCUGACUCACUUGGACGUAUUUACCCAGAAUCCAACAGCGCCGGAGGUUGGCUUGGCUCCGAGCAGAGAACCUCUGCAGCCCAGUGUGGAGGAAGAGGAGGAGCUGGAACAGGGCGAGCACGACUCUAAAGGUGAGACCAGUUUAAUAAACAUCCUCAAAACUCUCAUCUUAACAGUGAUAAUCCACUAACAGCAGGUCUGCCAGGUUUUGAAUUUACUAAAGAUUUAAGUAAUUUGAUAGGGGGGAUCUUUUUUUGAACUUGUACAAAUUAUUACAAACUGUUAAUUUUUCAUCCAGGG
ensembl:lncRNA